AGAAUAUAUAUUCAUAAAAAAAUAUAAAAAGAAGUUUAUUGGAGACAAUAAAUUAGGAGCAAGUAGUGGUAAGUACAAGCGUGCAUGCAUUGAGAAGUGAGAUAAUGAGGCAGAGCCAGGUAAGGUUGUUACUGGCAACGGCAAAGAAUCAAAUUUACACAUUCAUAUACAGCCAGAUUACACAAUGAGAAACCACAGAAUUACAGAAACUGAGAGAGGGUGGGGUCCCACUUUGUCUAUGCCCAGUUUCCUCAUUCUCUUAUAUUAGGUGAACCUACAAACUUGUUACCUAUACAUAAUCAUCACAGCUUUAUUUCAAAUACUACGUAGUUGCAAUCAUGAGUCUGUUUGGCCUUGGAAGCAGGUUACCAAAGUGUUCCCAGAUAGCACUCAAAUCCACACAGUUCACAUUAUUGGAUUGGUGAUGAUCCUAAUAUUACGUCACAUUGGGAUGACAAAAUCUAUAAAGAAGGGCCACCAGCGCACCACUUAUUAAUAAGUCAUUGUUUGAUCAGAUGGAGGAGCAUAAUUUGGUUUCCUGGAAUGGCAUGAUUGCUGCUUCUAAGCAAAUGUAAUGAUACUGCGUACUGGUAAAGCUAGAAUGUAUUUCAUAGUCUAAGUGAUUGCUGCUUCUAAGCAAAUGUAAUGAUACUGCGUACUGGUAAAGCUAGAAUGUAUUUCAUAGUCUAAGUGUUAGAAAAAAAAAUCUGAAAAAAAUAGAACCAAGCUUGAGGCAUGUGAAUUCACUGUCCUUAUUAAGAAUAUUUCGCCUUCACAGUGAAUAAUUGGUCAGGUCCAUCCCUAGAUAUUAACAAGCCCUUCCGGUGAUUGGCUGGGAGCAGAAAUAAUAUAUUUCAAGAGAAAACAUCCAGCUUAGAAGGAAGAGGAGAAAGAAAAACAAAACUAGAAAUCUGUAUAUUUUAGUGCACUAUUGUACCAUGUAUUUAUAGCUAUAGGCUCAACGACUAAUAUUUGAAAAUCAGUCUCCAAGUUGAUUCUGUCAUUAAGCCUCUUAAAAUUUGUAUCGGCUAGUUUCCUCUUUAAAUGUAGCCUGAUAAAUUCUCUCAUAAAUCUAUACUAGCUAGUUUGACCAUUUGAAAUAUAAGGCAAAAUAAAUUACUAAUAAUAAGUAGAUGUUUUAAAAUAAAAAAAAAAUUCAUAAAGUGAAUCCUGAAAAGGGGUCUCGCUCUCGCAUAUAUAUCUCGCGAGCAGGGAGGAGGACAGCCCAUUUUGCCUUGUGGCCCAGCGUUGGGGCAUGUUAGUCCAAUGAGUUUAAUUGUGUUGCAAUGCUUGCUGUGAUUUGGCUUGUGCUAGGUUGCAUACAGAUCUAUCUAUUGAUAAAUAUGUAAAUUAUCGGGCAAUUUGCAGGAUUGACCUUCGCUGGCGGUGGUCUUUAAUUUUUGUCCCUCAAAAUGGUGGUCUUUAAUUUUUGCCCUUCAGGCAGAAUUUUGCAAAAUUUGGGCAUUACAGGGAGAAUUUGCACAUGGACAGAAUUUUCAACUUCUGCCUUCAGAAAUACUGCCUUGCAAAUUUAUUUUUUCUGAGCUGGGGCUCGAACCCACAACCUCGGGAUAUUAGACGAAGGGCAAAACUUAAAGACCACCAAUUUGAAGGGCAAAAAUUAAAGACCACCCCAAAUGAAGGACAAUCCGCGCAAAAAGAAAAAAAUAAAUUAUCGAGUAUAGAACUGACAAGGGACGGUUUUGACAGGUUACCUCAGGAAUAUGUUGUAUUACGAGUGAACAAUAAUCUGGUAUAUUCGAUUAAAUUGCACUUGUAAUUUUUUUUUCCUAAUCAGCAUAUAUAACUUAAUUACUACUCCCUCCGUCCCAUAAUAAGUGUCACCUUAGCCAAAAACACGCAUAUUAAGAAACCAAUAAUGUUAUGUGAAGUUUACCAAAUUACCCCUAUAUAAUAAAAAUAAAUUAAUUUUCCUCUUGAUUAGAGCAUGCACAAGUAGUGAAUCUUUUGACAUUAGGAAUCCAACAAUAUCAAGUUACUAUGUGGCUUUUCCAAUUAUCAUUUAGAUGUUUUAACUUGUCUUUUUGUCUAAGGGUAAAAUUGAAAAAAAACUAGUCAAUUUAUGUCUUGGUUUCCUAAGGUGACACUUAUUAUGAGAUAAAUUUUUCUGGCUAAAAUGACACUUAUUAUGGGACGCAGGGAGUAUUUAAUAGAACAAAAAUGAUGCAAUUUUCACGGGGCUGGUCCGUGGAUUGGAAUAAGAUCUCCUCCCAGUUGAGUUGGGCUUGGCCACUGUAUAGCUGGGCUAGUCGAAGCCAACUUUCAAAACUGAUACUUGAUUCAUUUGAAUAGUUUUUCUUGUUUAAUUAGAAGCGACGAAUAAAUUAAGUUUUUUUUUUUUUUGGGGGGGGAAUCUACAUGGUGUGGCAAACUGUAGGUUUUUAUAUUUAGUAACUAUAGUUUGCAUUAAUUACUUCUCAUAGCUAAAAGUUGUAUUUGAAUUACCUAUCAUAGCUACACUAUAUAUUUAAAGUAGAAUACUCUAUUUUUAUUAUUUUUAUCUUAACUGAGAAUUUUAGGGCUAGCUUUGAGAUUAUUCUUCUCUCUCCGCCGCCGCCGGCCACAACGGAGAUCUCCUGAGAGUUCUUCCACCAUCGCCGUUUCUCUCUCUAAUCUCCGGCGAGUUCUGCCGCCGUCGAACACCCUAAACACCGUUGAAACUCUCUCUCUAUUCAACGCCACCAUAUCAUUGACGUCUCUCUCUCUCUAAAUACCAUAUCUAACUUGAUGGCUUUGGAUUUGCUUGUUUUUUUUUUUCGCUGCUCCCAUGACUUGUAGGAGGUGAGCUCCACCCGCUAUCGACUGAGAGGGUCGGCGACGAUAAUGUUGUUGGUGUAGGAGUGACAAAGAAGAAAGAAGUAGUGGUAGUGGUGUUGUUGUGGCGGAGGUCGGCGAAGAUACAUUGAGAUGGAAGGAAGAGGACGAGGGUUGUUGGUGGCAGUGGUGGGAAUGACAGUGGCUCAGAUCCCAAGGCCUCCACAUCUACCUCCUCCAUGCCGCCGGUGGUGGGAAUGACGGUGGCUCAGAUCCAGACGCUUCAACAUCUACCUCCUCCACGCCGCCGGUAGUGGGAGUGAUGGUGCCGGAAAUACAGUUUAUUGUCCAGAUCUGAUCGGAAAAUACAC